rnacentral:lncRNA from 1 species
CAGACCUGGCUAUCCAGUAGCACCUAUUCUAACCUUACAGGGCAGAGCCAGGUGAAACAUCAGAACAGGGAGAAGACUCUAGAAACUGAGAAUUGACUUGAAUUUGACUUAGAUUUCAACACACUUAUUAAGUAACUACUGUGCAUUGGACCUGUGCUAGUGCCAGGGACACAAAGACCAGGAUAGCACAGGCUGUUUCUCAAGAAGCUCUCAGGCUGCUGGGGGAGAAAGGCACAGGAACGAAGUGGCAGUGCCUUGUGGAGAGAAAACACUUGGCCAAAGCUCUUCACUGAGGGACCUGAAUUCAGAAGACCUGAACUGCAGCCAAGAUGCCAACCCUGUCUCUACAGCAAUGACAACCGGAGGACCCUCCCGUUUGGAAACCCUAACCUCUAUUAUGCUGAGGAACAGUUUGGUAAAUUUCACAUAAAAUGUACAUCAGACUAUAUUCUUGAAAGACAGCCAGUUCCUGAGACUCAGAGAGGUUGAGGAUUGUCCAAGGUCACUCAGCUAAUCUGUAACUCAGCAAGUCCUCAAGCCAAGCGCUUUCCUCCUCCCACCUCACCGUGAAGGGGCACCUGGUUUGACAGGGCAGAUCGUCCUACGAAAGGAACGGAACUACACGGAGCUUGAGGCUGAUGCAGGAGCCCUGGCUGGAUGGGUCACGACUCCGAGGGCCAGUCCCUCCUGCCUCAGGGCCAUGAGGAGUUGAAUUGGGCCCUGGUCAGGAUGGCUCUGCCCUCUGGACUCCCUGGGAAAUGAACUCCUUUACAAGGUGCCUCAACUCCACUUGGGAAGUACGUAUUGAGUGCCUACUCUGAGGAGGAAAAGCCCCCAGCUGAAAACCGGGGACUCUGCUUCCAGCCCCAUCUCAUCAACCAACCAUUUGAGGGUUCUCACAGG